UACGUAGGGUGCGAGCGUUAAUCGGAAUUACUGGGCGUAAAGCGUGCGCAGGCGGUUCGUGAUGUCUGAUGUGAAAGCCCCGGGCUCAACCUGGGAAUUGCAUUGCAAACUAGCGGGCUGGAGUGUGGCAGAGGGGGGUGGAAUUCCACGUGUAGCAGUGAAAUGCGUAGAGAUGUGGAGGAACACCGAUGGCGAAGGCAGCCCCCUGGGCUAACACUGACGCUCAUGCACGAAAGCGUGGGGAGCAAACAGG
rnacentral:rRNA from 1 species